AACGUAGGAGACGAACGUUAUCCGGAGUUACUGGGCGUAAAGGGCGUGUAGGCGGUUUGUUAAGUCUGGCGUGAAAGCUCUCGGCUAAACCGGGAGAGGUCGUUGGAUACUGGCAAACUAGAGGAUGGUAGAGGCGUGUGGAAUUCCGGGUGUAGUGGUGAAAUGCGUAGAGAUCCGGAGGAACACCAGUGGCGAAGGCGACACGCUGGGCCGUACCUGACACUGAUGCGCGACAGCAUGGGGAGCAAACAGG
rnacentral:rRNA from 1 species